rnacentral:misc_RNA from 1 species
AAGUCGUAACAAGGUUUCCGUAGGUGAACCUGCGGAAGGAUCAUUAACACGUAUCCAACGUUAAAACCCCUGUGAACCUUUAUUCGCCGCUCCCAGGGCUCAGUCGCGUAAAGCUAGCAAUCCCUGUACUCGUCCGAGAAAAGAAGGAGAAGGGACUUCUGGCAGUGCACCCUGGUUUCAGAGCGCUUGGUUAGUGGCUUGUUUUUCCCCAAGCAAUCAGUGAGUGAAAGUGUCAUUGGUUGUGUAAGGAUUUCGCCUAAACAGCGAUCACUGGAGGCCGAUCACCGGCCGGUGGAUCAAGUCACAGGAGCUUCGGCUUCCCUCCCCAACCCCACUUCCUAUUGCCGCUCCGCGCUAACAACGCCGGGCACUCAAAACGUACUAAACAACUGUUAACAAUGGAUAUCUUGGUUCUC